UUCUCCGUGGCGCAAUUGGUCAGCGCGUUCGACUGUUAAUCGAGAGGUUGGAAAAUCAAGCCUUCUCGGGGAAG
rnacentral:tRNA from 1 species